rnacentral:rRNA from 1 species
GACGAACGCUGGCGGCGUGCUUAACACAUGCAAGUCGAACGGAAAGGCCCUGCUUUUGUGGGGUGCUCGAGUGGCGAACGGGUGAGUAACACGUGAGUAACCUGCCCUUGACUUUGGGAUAACUUCAGGAAACUGGGGCUAAUACCGGAUAGGAGCUCCUGCUGCAUGGUGGGGGUUGGAAAGUUUCGGCGGUUGGGGAUGGACUCGCGGCUUAUCAGCUUGUUGGUGGGGUAGUGGCUUACCAAGGCUUUGACGGGUAGCCGGCCUGAGAGGGUGACCGGCCACAUUGGGACUGAGAUACGGCCCAGACUCCUACGGGAGGCAGCAGUGGGGAAUAUUGCACAAUGGGCGGAAGCCUGAUGCAGCAACGCCGCGUGCGGGAUGACGGCCUUCGGGUUGUAAACCGCUUUCGCCUGUGACGAAGCGUGAGUGACGGUAAUGGGUAAAGAAGCACCGGCUAACUACGUGCCAGCAGCCGCGGUGAUACGUAGGGUGCGAGCGUUGUCCGGAUUUAUUGGGCGUAAAGGGCUCGUAGGUGGUUGAUCGCGUCGGAAGUGUAAUCUUGGGGCUUAACCCUGAGCGUGCUUUCGAUACGGGUUGACUUGAGGAAGGUUGGGGAGAAUGGAAUUCCUGGUGGAGCGGUGGAAUGCGCAGAUAUCAGGAGGAACACCAGUGGCGAAGGCGGUUCUCUGGGCCUUUCCUGACGCUGAGGAGCGAAAGCGUGGGGAGCGAACAGGCUUAGAUACCCUGGUAGUCCACGCUGUAAACGGUGGGUACUAGGUGUGGGGUCCAUUCCACGGGUUCCGUGCCGUAGCUAACGCUUUAAGUACCCCGCCUGGGGAGUACGGCCGCAAGGCUAAAACUCAAAGGAAUUGACGGGGCCCCGCACAAGCGGCGGAGCAUGCGGAUUAAUUCGAUGCAACGCGUAGAACCUUACCUGGGUUUGACAUGGAUCGGGAGUGCUCAGAGAUGGGUGUGCCUCUUUUGGGGUCGGUUCACAGGUGGUGCAUGGCUGUCGUCAGCUCGUGUCGUGAGAUGUUGGGUUAAGUCCCGCAACGAGCGCAACCCUUGUUCACUGUUGCCAGCACGUUAUGGUGGGGACUCAGUGGAGACCGCCGGGGUCAACUCGGAGGAAGGUGGGGAUGACGUCAAGUCAUCAUGCCCCUUAUGUCCAGGGCUUCACGCAUGCUACAAUGGCUGGUACAGAGAGUGGCGAGCCUGUGAGGGUGAGCGAAUCUCGGAAAGCCGGUCUCAGUUCGGAUUGGGGUCUGCAACUCGACCUCAUGAAGUCGGAGUCGCUAGUAAUCGCAGAUCAGCAACGCUGCGGUGAAUACGUUCCCGGG